AAUCAGGUAGGACUACCCGCUGAACUUAAGCAUAUCAAAA
rnacentral:rRNA from 1 species